GACGAACGCUGGCGGCGUGCCUGACACAUGCAAGUCGUACGGUCCGUGAUUGAUCAAGCUUGCUUGAUUGGUCGUGGAUAGUGGCGGACGGGUGAGUAACGCGUGAACACCUACCCAUUGGAGGGGUACAACCCGUCGAAAGGCGGGCUAAUACCGCGUAAGCCGCGAGGUGAAAGGCUGCCUUUUGGUGGCUGCCGAUGGAUGGGUUCGCGUCCUAUCAGCUGGUUGGUGGGGUAACGGCCUACCAAGGCUAAGACGGGUAGCCGGUCUGAGAGGAUGGCCGGCCACACUGGAACUGAGACACGGUCCAGACUCCUACGGGAGGCAGCAGUGGGGAAUAUUGGGCAAUGGGGGAGACCCUGACCCAGCGACGCCGCGUGAGGGAAGAAGGUUUUCGGAUCGUAAACCUCUGUUGUACGGGAAGAAGGAAUUGACGGUACCGUACGAGGAAGCCCCGGCAAACUACGUGCCAGCAGCCGCGGUAAGCUCGUCUCUA
rnacentral:rRNA from 1 species